GACGAACGCUGGCGGCGUGCUUAACACAUGCAAGUCGAACGGAAAGGCCCUGCUUGCAGGGUACUCGAGUGGCGAACGGGUGAGUAACACGUGGGUGAUCUGCCCUGCACUUCGGGAUAAGCCUGGGAAACUGUGUCUAAUACCGGAUAGGAGCCAUUUUUAGUGUGAUGGUUGGAAAGUUUUUUCGGUGUGGGAUGAGCUCGCGGCCUAUCAGCUUGUUGGUGGGGUAAUGGCCUACCAAGGCGGCGACGGGUAGCCGGCCUGAGAGGGUGGACGGCCACAUUGGGACUGAGAUACGGCCCAGACUCCUACGGGAGGCAGCAGUGGGGAAUAUUGCAAAAUGGGCGCAAGCCUGAUGCAGCGACGCCGCGUGGGGGAUGACGGCCUUCGGGUUGUAAACUCCUUUCGCUAGGGACGAAGCUUUUUGUGACGGUACCUAGAUAAGAAGCACCGGCUAACUACGUG
rnacentral:rRNA from 1 species